ACCAUUUCUAGAACAAUGUUCAAUAGACUACCAUAUGCAUAUGAACGUGCACGAUGGAUAUUAGACACAAAACAUAGUAGUAGUAGUAUAACUUGCACAAAACUACAUUUAUGAUCUUUUGUAUUUGAGCCAGGAAGUUCUUUCAAAAGAUAACCCACAAGAAAGCACGCACUGGUCUUGUUGUGCACUAUACGUUAGGUGUUGCAAUUGUAUAUAAUCUCUUUUAUUUAUUUAGUUUGAACAACCAUGCAUGGCUAGGCACUUCCGAAAGUCUUCACUUAAAGUACUUGUCAAACCAUGCAUGGCUUGCUCAGCAGUUUUGACAGCAAGCAAAUCCAUGUGCAACUCCUGGAAAGACCUUGGCGUAGUAGGAAAUCUGCAAACAACCAAUGCCACAAAAAUGAGCUUUUCCAACUGAUAUAUAGUAUCCUCUAUGACGGAAUCACUAGGAACUCACCUCUGUUCUAUGACGCAAUACACUCACAUACUGGUACACUAGUUUUGGCAGUGCGACUUCGUCGUAUUGAGCUCCAAGGAUCUCGAUUGGACAUUUAACCAUUGUUUUGAAUGGUCAUAUAGUUAGCAUACGAAAUUAAGCACUUAAGUUCAGUUCCAAAGACAUCUCGAUCGAUGCUGUCUGGGAGGUUGCAAACACAAAGAAAAGGAGCAAACCUUUCAUGUCAUCAGUAGUCACAAUGUAAGGAUGAGAAAUGGAAACUACUUUAACAUCACUGGUUUUCCCCAUCUCCACACUGAACUUUCCUGUCAGUUACGCGGCAAUAGAAGAUAAGAAUUUUAUGCUCUGUAUGUUGCCUGAAGAAGGAUUUUGGAAGCUGGAAUUUCACUCACCACCCCAGCAAUAACCUCCCACCCCGAUGGACUUUCCUUCCUUUUUUAAAGCAGCAAAGAGUGGCUUGGCGUCUCUGGCAGCUUUUAACUGCCAGAUCGAUCGGAUACUCAAAUCAAUAUAUUUUCAACUCACGAUGCAAUGAGCAUAAGAUGAAAUUUGAAAGGGACAUGGAACAGACCGGGGAGUGAAGCUUUAUCCACUCUGAAAUGUUUUUACUUGAGUCUAAAUAAUCUCCAUUGAAGAAAUCAGGCACCACAACAAAGUAUCCAGCCUCGCUAACUUUAUCGGCUAUCUGUCUGCAUCAUUAAAAGAUCAAGAAAGGGAUGAACAAUAGCUAGUACAGAAAGGGAUUCUUGCGUCGUUGUACUCCAAACAAAAUGCAAUCUAUCUCAUAUGAGAAUUAACUUUCACCGGAUUGUCUUUUUUGGAAAAAAAAAACUGUACUGUAUUUUACUCUGUACAGAAGCACAAAGCAUUGUUAUUUUUUUAAAAAAUAUAGUCAAAUAAAAUUUGCUCUAGUUCUUCAAAGUCUCUAAAAUCAUUUGUUGAUAUUUAAAAGCAUUUUGCUAUGGUUAUGAUUGCGUUGCUACUUGCUACAAACAUCAUAAGGGAGUACUAAGCAGGAAAAAUCGAAAGCAUGCCAGCCGAAUGAUCUAGUUUUUCAAAGUCUCUAAAAUCUGGAGAGAUGCUAGUUGACCAAGAACAGAGCAUUUUGAUCUACGAUAGUAAGCCUGAGUAGAGCAAGAAAGAACACAAAAUUUGGGAAUUAAAAGACCGUAGAUAUAUUUAUGUACCUGAGUAAAGGUGCCUCGAACCCUGAGGAAAUCAAUCAAAUAGUGGAGAAAAAUUUCCUGUCAAAACGUACGCCCAAAUUGACUAGAAACUGCAGAAGUGUAGUACUACGGUCGAAACACCAACCGAAAACAUCGGAGGCGAGGACGAUGGCACGGCUUGAGCUUGCGGCUGAAGGACCGAAAGGGCGACUAGAGGGGGUGAAUGAGAGCCUAUAAAAAUUCUCAACAAAAAAAAGGUCUAUGUCCCAAAUGCAACCCCAAAGCACACAACACGUUGUAUCGUCAAGAUGACGCAAGUCAACUCGUGACAAGCUCACCCUAGGAACGAUACACGUAUCGAAAGCAAAGCUCAAAGUGAUCCGAAUACGUGCAUGACAUGGCGGAAGCAGAACAUAAAGUGACUCACAAUCAGAUUCAAGCAAGCCCACAAAAAACUUACUCAACUAAGCAUAAUUAGCAAGAGAUAAAACACAUUAAGUACUCAAGCAAGUGAACAAGUAUUAGUUGGCUAAGUUUUAGGAUUAAUAGAGGAUUAGAAAAGCUAAUUUAACACCGAACAACCAUGGAUUAGAACAGUGCUAUCAGCCAUGUGCAAGAACUAAUAAUGAUUCCUCAAACCAUUGAUCACUGUAGCUAGAAAGCAACUCUUCAUGGCAUGAAGGCACUACCCAGGGCCGGUCUGGAGAUUUGGGAGGUCCGGGGUGAAAGUAAAACUCGGACCCUUUAAUAUAAUAUUGAUAUAUAUGAAAUAUUACCAAUAAAUACUUAAAUGCAUCUAAAAACAAUAUUCAUAUUGAAUUAGAGGGUGUUUGGGAACACCGUGCUAAAAUUUAGCACCUGUCACAUUGGAUGUUUGAUACUAAUUAGGAGUAUUAAACAUAGUCUAAUUACAAAACUAAUUGCACAAAUGGAGUCUAAUUCGCAAGACGAAUCUACUAAGUCUAAUUAGUCCAUGAUUUGACAAUGUGGUGCUACAGUAACCAUUUGCUAAUGAUGGAUUAAUUAGCCUUAAUAGAUUCAUCUCGCGAAUUAGACUCCAUCUGUGCAAUUAGUUUUGUAAUUAGCUCAUGUUUAGUCCUUCUAAUUAGCAUCCGAAUAUCCGAUGUGACCCUACUAAAGUUUAGCACCUCGUAUCCAAACACCCCCUUACUUAUAUAUAUUACCUUAAAAGUUUCUUCUAACAUUCCUCGAAGCAAAGUCACUUAUGAUAGGGUUGAAGUCAAUCUCAUCCAACAAUUUCUUCUCGAUACAUAAUGUUGCCAAACCAUUUAACCUCUCCUGAGUUAUUGUUGACCUCAAAUAGUUUCUCAAUAACUUCAACUUUGAAAAACUUCUUUCAGCCGAUGCGAUAGUCACACACAGACACAGUAAAUAAGAGUCGGUAAGUAACUUUCAACCGAUGCGACAGUCACACAUAGUAAAUAAGAGUGGGUAAGCAAUGGAGAUAUUAGGAUAACAAUCCACAUCUCUGACAUGCUCAAAAAUCUCCAUAACAGACAUUACGCCAUCUGAUAAAGUGAAUUUUAUAAUCUUUAAUUCAGAAAUAAGAUCAUAUACCUCAACAUCAGAUGAACCAUCAAAAGACAACAUGAUAUUGCACAGUGCUGAAAUUAUUACAAAUACACAAUAGUUAUAAAUCAAAUAAAAUUAAAUAACUUGUGAUACUAAAUUAAUAAUUAAUGGUAUAGAAAAUUAAGAAAUUGGUAAUCGAGUAGUGUACCUGGGUGCCGGCGCAGUUGAAUAGGAAAAGUCUAAUCUCAUCCGGCAAAGUCGAACAGUAAAUAGAAUAACACGCGCACGAGACACAACUCUGGAGGGAUCACCGGGCGCAGCCGCACAGCACGACAGCGGCGGCAGCAGGGUAGCUUUUGGCGACGGCGCUAGGGCGUACGGCGUGUGCGAUCUAAUUGUUGCGGCGCCGGCCUUUAGGAAAGGCAGGCAUGAUCAUUAGCCUCACAUGGGUGGGGCCUGGUAUUUUGUUUCGUUUCUUCCUAUUAGGGCCUCCGAUUGUUUAGGGACUGUUUGGAUACGAGGUGCUAAACUUUAAAAGUGUCACAUCGGAUGUUCGGAUGCUAAUUAGGAUGACUAAACAUGAGCUAAUUAUAAAACUAAUUGCAGAACCUUGUGCUAAUUCGCGAGACGAAUCUAUUAAGCCUAAUUAAUCCAUCAUUAGCAAAUGGUUACUAUAGCACCACAUUGUCAAAUCGUGGACUAAGUAGGCUUAAUAGAUUCGUCUUCUGAAUUAUACUCCAUCUGUGCAAUUAGUUUUAUAAUUAGCUUAUGUUUAAUACUCCUAAUUAGCAUCCAAACAUCCGAUGUGACAGGUGUUAAACUUUAAUAGGGUGUUCCCAAACACCCCCUUAAUUGUUGGGCCUAUCACCAUUUGUGCAUCGCGUAUUUGCGUUCUGGGAGCCUCUGCGCCUGCGGCCUGCCUAGGUGCUGCACGCGCCUGACGCCUGCGGGUGGGGCCCCUGGGAGUUGGGGGCCCAGGCAGCCGCCCCCCUGCCCCGCCAGGGCCGGCCCUAGCCCUACUUGCUCCUUGCGCUGCUUGCCUGCUCGCUGCUUGGCUUGUCACCGUGCUUGCAACCUGGUCUGGCCCGCGACGCAUCAGCUACUCCUGGGUCGCAAGCUCCAGACGGCCUGCUAGCGAUCAGCACCUGGGGCAACCUGCCAGCUCACUGGGCUACCAGCAUGCGAAGGUUGCUGGGCCACUGCUUGCUUCCACCAGCCCGCGUGCCGCUCGCUGUGAACGGCGUGGCAGCAAGUGUAGCACUGCUCCGUCACCUGCGCACACGAACAGAAGGAAACGAAGAACAGAGAGAAGAACAGCCAGAACACCCAAGAACACACGUAACUUCGAAUCGUGAGAUCUCCUUCCGCACUCCACGCAUCAAGAUGAAACUUGACCCAAGGAUGCACUACCCCUAGGACAAAUAGAUCCAUGAGACAAAUCACGAAAAUCUCAAGUAUUCAUCGCAAAUCUUAGGGAAAAUCAAAACCCUAACUCAAACUCGGUUUUGGAAGAAACUCAAAAUUGAAGUCGGAUUCGUGAGAUAUUUGGAAGGGGAUCAUAUCAAAGAAGCUCCACGAAGUCCUAGCAACAUUCCCCUUCAACCAAACUCACGAGAUUCGGGCUCCAACAAGAUGAACGAAAAUUCUCAAAAAUGAGUCCGAAAAUAGGGAAAAAGAAAAACGCUCGGGAACAAAGAUUUUACAUGAUUAACAAACCACACUAAAUCAUGAGAGAAUCUUCUUUACAAAAGAGGGCCAGCCUCCUCCCUUCAUCCAACCACUAAAAGAUGAAGAAAUCAAGAGAAAAGAGUAAUCACUCUCUAGUCUCCCUCUCUCCUCUCACUUUAAGCAUAUGACUAGCCUCUAAGCCAAAAGAUAAUGAGUUGCUAAGCAAAGAGGUGCUGAAAUAACCAGCCCCCCAUCCCGACGAAAGACUAUACUACCCCUACAGCUAUAACUAAGAUAACUACCCACGCAGGGUAUUUUGGUCCAAGUUUUUAUCCGCGCUAAGACAAUACUACCCCUAUAGCUACAACUAAGACUAUAAUGUUUUCCUUUUUGUGGUCGAAAAGAUUAGAUAGAUAUUUUGUACUAUAGUUGCUCAUCACUCCAAUUAUGUACACUUCUUCGCACGUUAGGUCCCGUUUGGAUACCCUGCUAAAGUUUAGCACCUGUCACAUCAGAUGUUUGGAUCCUAAUUAGGAGUAUUAAACAUAGGCUAAUUACAAAAUUAAUUGCACAGAUGGAGUCUAAAUCACGAGAUGAAUCUAUUAAGCCUAAUUAGUUCAUGAUUUGAUAAUGUGGUGCUACAAUAACCAUUUGCUAAUGAUGGAUUAAUUAGGCUUAAUAGAUUCAUCUCGCGAAUUAGCACAUGAUUCUGCAAUUAGUUUUAUAAUUAGCUCAUGUUUAGUCCUCCUAAUUAGCAUCCGAUCAUCCGAUGUGACACUGCUAAAUUUUAGCACCUAAAUAUCCAAACACCCCCUUAUUUCAUUUUUGAUCUUGGAGUCGCCGCUGCCGACCUCGAGACUGGACUAGGGUGGCUGGCUUAAUCCCACCUUGCUGGGAUCAGCCUCCAUGGGGGCGACAGAUGCCACUGCCUAGGCAUGGUGGUGGUUGUUGCUGUAGCCAAGCGUUUGCAGGUGUACUGUGUCCCUGACAACAUGUGUGCGCAUGCAGAUUGGCCUCUCGGAUCUAUGGAGUGCUGAUAUGUGUUGCUUAAUGGUGUUGUGUCGAGGUAGGUUUGGGAUGUGUGCUCGGAGUGAAGGCCUUUGUCCUUCGCCAGCUGUCGGUGUUUUAGACCGGCAACCCGUCUAGGGGUACCCUAGGUGGUCUUUUAUGCGGUAAGGGUCGUCGAGAAUCAAGGAAUCAAUAGUGAUGCAAGGAACACGAUUUAGACAGGUUCGGGCCGCUAGAUCGCGUAAUACCCUACGUCCUGUGUGUUGGUUUGUAUUGACGUAUGUUCCGGUCCUGAGGGAUCUGUUUUGAGGGGGUCCCUGCCCGGCCUUAUAUACCCGGGAGGGCAGGGUUACAAGUCUGAGUCCUAGUCGGGUACUAUUACAGAGUUCUACUCGGUAUCAUCCCGAGUAAUUUUCCAUAAACAUACAAGACUAGUCCGAGUAGGAUACGCCCAUCCUUGUUCUGAUCACGUCCGAGUACAUCCUAUAGUGGGCCGUCCAAGGCCUACUCAUGGGUUUAGGGAGUAGUCCCGACAAGCCCCCGAGUACUUUGUAGUCGUGUGCCAUAGUCAGGCACUACAGGCACUACCCGAGUAAUUUUGCAGAUUGAAGUGCCCGAGUACUGUCGCGUGGCUGGAAGGUACUCUUUCUGUAGCUUCGAGUUGUCUCCAUCCCGAGUAGUUUUUAUAUGGUAGUGCGAUGUCAAUCGCACUCCAUAUGGAGUAGCCCCCGAGCCUUAGGUUGAGUCGAAGACUCAGGCUUAGGGUCAAACCAUCUUUUGCCCAUUUUACCCUCGGAGAUCUUGAAGAAGAAAAAACUGACCAACGGGUACGAUACCCGCAGCCCCCGAGCACUUAGGCGAUCCCUGUCGUUGAAGUGGUCAACAAUCCGUUGAAUGUAGUAACCGUUGGGUGUUUAUUGUGAUUAAUACGCAAUUUAAUCUGUCCGGUGCGCAACUGACGCGUCGAAUCCGGACCCGGCGGAGAUAAAUCUGGAAAACCCCCUUUUCAGUUGUUGUGACGCCGCACGGGCAUUAGAUCUGUUUUCUUCCUCCUCCUCUGUGCCUUCGCUCGCUGUCACCACCGCCAGUGCUGCCGCCUCCGCCAUUUCUGCUUAGAUUCGGGUGAAAACCUCAUAACUUGAGGUUGAGGCCUAGCGGAUGCGCUCCAAGAAGAUGGGUAAGAAACCUGAGAAGACCCAAGGCAAGGUUCCGGCAACGGGCAGGAUCAGAUCCAAGAAGGGGAAGGAGUUGGUGCUGCCGGCGCCGAAGGUGGGGCUGACGAACCAGACUGCUCCGUCGCCACCUGGGGCAACUUGGCAACAUUCAGUGAUGAAGGAGGAGGGAGUCCAGGCGCUAGUCGACGCCAAGCUCCUUCAACCGAAGGAAAUCGUGCAGUGGCGCCCCGCAUUCCCCAAUGCGUGGCAGUUCGAGGAACACCCGGCGGAGACGGUGAUGCUUGCUCUCUUCGUGGAAAGGGGACUGGCCGUGCCUACCUCCGACUUCUUCAGAGGUAUUCUCGAGUAUUACAGUCUUCAGCUCGUCCACUUGAAUCCCAAUGGAAUACUGCACAUGGCUAUAUUUGUACAUCUGUGCGAAGUGUUCCUGGGAGCACCUCCAAGCCUCGAGCUAUUCAGGAAGUUGUUCCGUUGCAAGCCUCAGCCGAGUGCCCAACGGACGGAGGUCUUUGGAGGUGCCGGGUUCCAACUCAGGAACUCGAAUGCAUACAUUGAGUAUAAUCUGACCGACUCCCAUGGGGACUGGAAGAAAAGGUGGUUCUACAUCGGGAACCAUGAUCCUCACCUGCCUAUGGUGACUGGUCAUGCGCCCAAGCAUGCGGAAAACUAGGUAAGCGAGCCUAAAGAUACUCCGGAACUUGAUCUUCAGAUGCAGCAGAUCACCGAGUUGAAAGUACUCGGUCUGACUGGGAUCAAUGUGGCAGCUAGCUUUCUGAAAAGAAGGGUCCAGCCGCUUCAGAAACGCGCUCACCUGGGAAGUGAAUACAAGGGUCUGAAAGAUCCAUCGCAUAUGUCUGAGGAGGACAUAUCUGAUGAUGACGUGGAGGUGCUGCUGGCAAAAUUUUUCAGGAACUAUCAGGGAGUACCAGCACUUCCUGCGGCCCUUCGCCAGUAUGAAUCCUGGUACGAGCCUGAGGUGGUAAGUAUUUCCGUCCUGACUUGUUUUCUGUUGACUUGUGAUUCGUGUUGCUGACACCGUUUUGUUUGUGUUAGAAGUCCCGAGUACUUGACGGCUAUGUGGCUCAGUCGGAAGAAGAAUCAGAGGCCGCCGUCGAGGAGUCAGAGGAAGAGCCUUCUCCCCCUGUCAAGAGGCGCAGAGUAAUCCGCAAGAUGGCCGCGGCUAAGUCUGUUGCAACCACUGAAAAGUCUCGGGGUACCAAGGUAUGUACUCGAUAAUCUUGUAUGUCACUGAAGAACUUUGAGAUGCUUGAUUGAUGUGGUGAAUCAUGUCUUGGUUUAUGAAGGUUGUAGAGGAGAUUGUCUCUGAAGAGAUAGUCGCGUCCGACCCUUAAGUCGGUGAGGUGGCCGUCGACAUAUUGCCGGAAGAAAUGCCGUCAACAGCUGUGGUAGCCCCCGAGUUAACCGCGCCAGCUCCGUCAGCUGCCGUGCCGCCCACUGCUAAUCAGGCGAUUCUGGCUGCCUGCUAGGAUGGCAAGGGAGGUGUCACCAGUACUUGCUACGGGCACCUUGCUGUCAAAUGUGGUCGCCAGCGGUAAGUGCUAUCCUUGUCAAAUGUAGUCAUUUGAGUAGUACUGUAGUCUUGAUGUUGGUUUUGUAGGUCUUGGUGAGAAAACGGCGCCGGCAGCUAUUCCCGCGGCUCCGAGUACUCGGCCACCUAUGGCCGAGAAGAAACGUGUGCGACUGCCGCCACGCUCAACCCGGUGAGUGCCCUUGUUCUCUUGAACAAUGUUGCAUUGGCUGGAAGUCAUGUAGUAACACUUUGGCGGUGCAGGGAUGCGGAGGAAACUAUCCCUGUAGAAACAGGGGUAGUACCGGACCCUUUGGCCACAACAUCUGUUCCUUUUGAGGACAUGAUUGUUGAAGAAGUUCCCGAGGUAGACCCGGGUCGUCUUGGAGCUACGAUGUCGAUGCUUCAAGACGUGAUUCGCUCAGUAGAGGAGCCUGCUGCUGCAUGAGGCUCGGGAAGUGCCGGCCUGUCCUCGUCCUCUAGCGGAGUGCUAGCAAUUGUUGAGAAGUCCAAACAAACGACUGCUCCAGGUAGGUGGCUGAAAUUUGUUAUUGUAGUCGUAGUCGGUAGCUAAUAUGGUGAAUGUUGUAGGUGUCGUUCUGGGUACAGCUUGUCUUGUGGGGAGUACCCAAAGGUCAGUACUCAAUCCGCCUUCUGACUUGGAGCUCCAGAGGGCCAUGGAUGUGUUCUGGGGCGUUCAGGUAAAUAUGGCUGUCAUUACUGCUUGACCCAAGUAGUCGUGCGGCGGAAAACUCACCACAGCGUACUUGGAUCUUUUCAGGAAAGAAACCACCAGGUGGAGCAAGAGUGCGCCCGACUGAAAGAAGCGCUUCGGGUUCAUCAAGUCGGGGCAAAAUCCUUUGCCGUGGAGCGCGCGGAUCACGCCGUUCUGCAGGAGAAAUUGGAGAGCCGCUAUAAAUCCUUGAACAAGAAGUAUCAAGGUAAGCAUUGCAACUGCUUUUGGGUGUGUCCAACUGUAGUUGGUUGUAGCCUGAGUUCCUUUUGUUUUGUAGAGCUCAAGAAACAGGAGGCGUCUACAAGGAAUUAGGUCAUUGAUUGGAGGAACGCUCAUGAUCAAGUGGCAAAUGAAGCCGAACAUCUUCGAGCCGCGCUCGCUGAAGCGGAAGCUGCAUGCGAGCACCAGCGGGACCGAAAGAUGCAGAACGGCGUGAUGCUUGCCAUGGCCAUGGUGGUGUGCAGGGAUCAUGCCCAGACCUUGGGAUGACUUCGUGGUGAACUACAAGAACUGUCCAGAGCUGCCGAAGAGUUGGUGAAUGCCAUAGCCCCCGUGGAAGACGCAGGGCCGCGAUCGCUAGUAGAGCGACUAAGAGCUGCCCCGAGUAAAGUAGCAGGACUUUGCAGGACUGUUUGCAAACAGGUACUUGCAGUUGUGAAGUCCUACUACACGAGGGCAGACUUGGCGGCGGUUGGAGAUGGCGUGGCUCGCAACUGCAUAGAGGAGGCCUAUGCGCAGUACCUUGAUGAGGCAGAGCCCAUUGCAGCCAAGAUGUCGGAGUUCGUCUUUUUAGAAGAACUUUGAGCUUUUGUGUGUACUCUUGUUCUUGUACCAAGUAUGUUGAUACUUUUGAAUAUCAAGAUGUUGGAAUUUGGGGUAUGUUUGUCUUGGAAAAAUGUUUGUUGAAACCCAAAGUUGUUGCAACUCUGCUGUGCCCGACCCUUUGAGGGUGUAGCACCGCCUCGCCCGACCCCGAGUCCUGGGGUCGGAUGCGCCCGACCCUUCGCGGGUGGAACUUCGCCUCGUCCGACCCCGAGUCCUGGGGUCAGAGGCGCCCGACCCCUCGCGGGUGGAACUUCGACUCGCCCGACCUUAGGUCCUAGGAUCGAAGUAGUCGGGGCCCCCGUCGUGUAGGCUAAACUUGGCUUGUAGUAGUCCCGAGUAUCGAGUAGUCGUAAUGCUGUUUGAGUACUCAUCUUCGGAGGGACAUGGAUGCACUGUACUCAGCUGUCCUUUGUUGCCGUACGGGUGUACUUAGCUCUUUUAUCCGUUGCGGAGGCACGGACGUACUGUACUCCUUUGUCUGUUGCAGCAUGAGUGCCGUCACAUGGGUGGAGUCAGGAGUCGUCAGACUCAUUGAUCGCGGGUACACAGUAACUCUUGGGCCGGUGGUAGUUGGAGCUUCCGGCUAUAAAUAGAGCCAUCUGGUGGGCGAGCCAACUCAAAACUCCUGAGUUGCAAUGGAUUGCCUGCGGUUGCUUCUGUUUGAGUGUAGAGAAUCAGCAAAGAGCGCACCGGUGCUAGAAGAUUCCUCGUAGAUUAAGGCCGCCUUGCCUCCACAGGCUCCUGCGCUCGUAGGGAUAGCCGCGAUGCUAGAAGAAUCCUCGUAGGAGGGUUCGUCGCUUGCCUCAUCUCGUAGCUACUGAUCCAGCGGAGUACGCGCUGGAACUCGCAGCGAGUGAUGGGUCAUGAGUGUCGCAGUCUUCAUCCCGCUUGGAAAGAUAGUGGGGGUGCGGCCGUGGAGUAGAUAGGCUUCGCAAGGCUAGCAAAAGAGCAGCCUUGGUUCCCUCUAGGUGUGUCUUCCCGGUUUUGACGUUGCCGUUGUCCUAGUGAUGGCGGUAAUGGAGUACCUGUACGUGCCUUAGGUAGGAUACCAGGGCGUUGCAGCGUUUUGCGCAGCUUCCUUGCGUGUAGGCCCCUCCUGCGGUCGGCAGACCUGAGUGGCCUUGUGAUAUAGUAAAAGCCUGAGACUUAAAUGCAGCCCGCCAGUAGGCAGGUGCUUGUAGUCUUUGUUGAGCUGAAUCCUUGUACUCAUAUGUAAUGUGAUGUACUUCUUGUUUCAAAAAAGAAGAGUUUCCUUUGUUGUAUUGAUAGCGCGUUGAAGCGAACACCCUUUGAAGUUAAUAACCGAGUAGCCGUCCCGAGUAGUCGCCUGGAAGUGAGUACUUGAGUGCUGCUAUGGGUAAUAGCGACAAAGGUGUUCUAUAUUCCAAGAGUUAGGGACUUGUUCGCCUGAGAGCUCUUGGAGUCUAUAAGAUCCAGGUCUUGUAACUUUUGAUACGAUGUAAGGGCCUUCCCAUGGUGAAUUGAGUUUGUGCAAUCCUGAUGUGUCUUGAAUACACUUAAGGACCAUAUCACCCGAGUUAAAAGACCUUUCCUUGACGUUGUGAUUGUGGUAACGCCUUAAACCGUCAAGGUAUCUGGCAGAUUGCACCAGUGCUGCGCAUCUUGCUUCUUCCAAACUGUCGAUAUCUGUACGCCGUGUUUCUAUGGCAAGCUCUUCGUCAUAUUGUUCGACGGAUGGUGAUUGCCACAUGAUGUCGGCGGGUAUGAUGGCUUCGGAGCCAUAUACCAGGAAGUAAGGUGAUAGCCCUGUAGUCUUGCAUGGUUGGGUACGUAGGCCCCACAAGGCAUUGGGUAACUUUUUGAGCCAUCAGCCGCCUUUGGUGUUGCCGACAUCAUGUAGUCGUUUCUUCAGAGCAUCGAGUAUCAUGCCAUUGGCACGCUCGACUUGACCAUUGGCUCGCGGAUGAGCAACCGAGACAUAGCGGACGUCGAUGCCGCUAUUCUCGCAAUACUCCCAGAAGUCAUGAUUGUUGAAGUUUGACCUGAGAUCGGUGAUAAUCCUGUUGGGAAAACCAUAACGAUGUACGAUUUCAUCCAAGAAGUCGAGAACUCGGUCUGCCUUUGGACAAGUGUCUGGUUUGACCUCGAUCCACUUGGUGAACUUGUCGAUUGCCACGAGUACUCUGUUGAAUCCUCCUGGCGCGGUUGGUAACGGGCCAAUCAUGUCAAGCCCCCAGCAGGCAAAUGGCCAUGUUGGAGGUAUUGUGACUAGCUUGUAAGCCGGCACAUGUUGCUGUUUUGUGAAGAAUUGGCAACCUUUGCACUUCUGGACGAGUUGCUUGGCGUCAGCCAGAGCCAUUGGCUAGUAGAACCCUGCUCUGAAGGCCUUGCCGACUAUUGUUCUCGAAGAGGCGUGGUUUCCACAGAUUCCUCUGUGAAUUUCUUCUAAGAUUUCUUAGCCAUCUUCUCUAGUAACGCACUUCAUGAGUACUCCAGACGAUGCGCCCUUCCUAUAGAGCUUUUCUCCGACUAGAACAUAAUUUUUGACCCGUUGGGAGAUUUGCUCGGCUUUAUUCUUAUCAGAUGGUAGCUGGUGAUCUUUGAUGUAGUCGAUGAAGGGUGUCCUCCAGUCGACUUCUAUCAUCAUGAUCUCUCGAGAGGCGUCAGUAGUCGGGACUACUGGCGGUAGGACCUGCUCGGGUAUGGAUGGCUUGCGUAACUCGUGUACGAAAAUUCCUGCUGGAACUUCCGCACAAGUUGAGCCCAUUUUGGAUAAGACGUCGGCGGCAACGUUGUUGUCACGAACGAUGUGAUGGAACUCCAAGCCGGAGAAUUUGUUUUCCAAUUUACGGACUUCUUUGCAGUAAGCGUCCAUAUUGUCCUUGUUGUGGUCCCACUCGUCGUUGACCUGGUUUAUGAUGACUAGUGAGUCGCCAUACACCAGUAGUCGUUUGAUGCCGAGGGAGAUCGUAAGGCGAAGGCCGUGUAGCAGUGCUUUGUACUCGGCUUCGUUAUUGGAUGCUUCCCAGAAUAUUUGCAGCACGUACUUGAGUUGGUCUCCUUUGGGGGAGAUGAGUAAGACGCCUGCACCGGCACCUUCCAGUUUGAGGGAUCCGUCGAAGUACAUUACCCAAUGCUCUGGUCGCUCAAUUGGAGUUGGAAUUUGAUUUUCGGUCCACUCGGCUAUGAAGUCGACCAAAGCCUAAGACUUGAUGACUGUCCUCGGCUUGAAGCUCAAAGUAAGAGCCCCGAGUUCAACUGCCCAUUUGGAGAUUCUACCCGUGGCAUCUCUGUUAUGGAGAAUUUCGCCAAGCGGGAAGUCGGAGAUGACUAUGAUGCUAUGCUCUUGGAAGUAAUGGCGUAGCUUCCGGGAGGUGAGCAGAAUGGCAUAUAAGAGUUUUUGUAUCAGUGGAUACCGAGUUUUGGAGUCCGAGAGUACUUCGCUGACGAAGUAGACAGGUCGUUGAACCUUAUAGGCGUGGCCCGGUUCAGACCGUUCGACUACUAUUGCCGUGCUGACGACAUGAGUAGUAGCAGAGAUGUAUAGGAGCAAGUCCUCAUUCGGCGAGGGAGCGAUGAGUACAAGAGGCUUUGACAGAAAGUCUUUGAGUUGUGUCAAUGCCUUGUCUGCCUCUUCCGUCCAUUUGAACUUGUCCUGGCGUUUGUGAAGCUUGAAGAAGGGUAGUCCUCGUUCUCCAAGUCUCGAGAUGAAUCGGUUGAGAGCGGCCAUGCAGCCGGUGAGUUUCUGCACAUCUUUAAUGCUAGCGGGAGCCUGCAUGUUUGUGAUGGAAGAUAUCUUCUUAGGGUUGGCCUCAAUGCCGCGAUGGCUAAUGAUGAACCCGAGUAGUUUGCCCGAAGGUACUCCGAAGACACACUUGGUAGGAUUGAGUUUCCAUCGAAAAGCGCGGAGACUGGAGAAAGUUUCCUCCAAGUCAGCGAUGAGUUCCUCCCGGUGUCUUGUUUUGACGACGACAUCAUCAACAUAAGCUUCGACAUUGCGAUGAAGUUAUUUUUCAAAGCACAUCUGUAUGGCCCUUUGGUAAGUUGCUCCUGCGUUCUUGAGUCCGAAGGACAUUGUUUUGUAGCAGAAGGCUCCAAAGGGUGUGAUGAACGCUGUUUUGGCUUGAUCUUUCUCUUUGAGGCUUAUCUGAUGAUAGCCGGAGUAGCAAUUGAGGAAGCAUAGCAAGGCGCACCCAGCGGUGGAGUCGACCACUUAAUCAAUCCUGGGUAACCCGAAAGGAUCUUUCGAGCAAUGUUUGUUGAGGUCGGUGUAGUCGACACACAUUCUCCAUUCGUUGUUUUUCUUGCGAACAAGCACAGGAUUGGCGAGCCAGUCAGGAUGGAAGACUUCCUUGAUGAAUCCUGCCGCGAGUAGCUUGGCUAACUCUUUUUUGAUGGCAUCGCGUCUGUCCUGAGUGAAACGGCGUAGUUGUUGCCGUUUGGGAGUAGCUUUGGGAUCAACAUUAAGGGAGUGUUCGAUCAGUUCCUUGGGCACACCUGGCAUGUCGGCCGGCUUCCAAGCGAAGAUAUCGUGGUUAGCCCGAAGGAAACUGACGAGCGCGAGUUCCUAUUUAGGAUCCAGCCCUGUUCGGAUCAGGACCGUCUUGGAAGGAUCACCGGUCUGGAGGUCGAUUGAUUUGAAGUCUUGCUCACUGGCGGGUUUCACCUUUGUGGAGCCCGACUUGUUUUCCGGGAUCUCGAGUUCAGUUGGAUGGAGUUUCUUUGAAGCUGUGAAGACUUGCUGCAUGGGACUAGGAGAUUGAGUAGUCGCAGCAAUUUCCACGACUUCGGUGUCACACUCGUAGGAUCUCCGGAGAUCUCCUCGUAGCGUGAGCUCUCCUUUGGGACCUGGCAUCUUUAGUACCAGGUAGACGUAAUGUGGUAUGGCCAUGAACUUGGCUAGUGCUGGCCGCCCGAGUAUGGCAUGAUAAGAUGUGUCGAAGUUGGCAACCUCGAAUCUGAUGUACUCGGUGCGAUAAUGUUCCUUAGUGCCGAAGGUGACUGGGAGGACAACUUGCCCCAAUGGUAUGGCCGUGUUUCCAGGCACAAUGUCGUAAAAAGGUGAAUCCGUUGGAGUAAGCAUGUCCGUGACGUCGAGGCACAUUUUUCUUAAUGUUUUGGCGAAGAUGACGUUGAGACCGCUCCCGCCAUCGAUGAGUACUUUGGUUAACUUGGAACCGGCCACAACUGGAUCCAAGAUUAGUGGGAAAUGGCCGGGUUCUGAAAAUUUUGUCCAUUGAUCCUUUCUGCUGAAAGAAAUUGUAACUUCCGACCAUUUUAGCGGUGUGGGGUCCGUCAGCUCGAUAGCCAUGAUCUCCCGGAGUACAAGUUUGUUGGCUCGCUUGGAUGCUGUACCAGGGAUGCCACCAAAAAUGACGUUGACGGUUUUUGAGGCUGGUUGGAAAUCACCAUCUUCAUCUUCGUCAUUGCGGGCUUUGUUUUUUUCCCUUGUCUCUGUUUUUGGCGUAGUCUUCAGGAGUUGGUGGUGCUGGUAAUUCUUGCAUGACACGGCGCAUGCUAUAACAGUCCAAUGCGGAGUGCUUGCUAGUCGGAUGCCAUGGGCACUGCUUUUUGAGUAGCUCCGUGAAGGUUGGUCCAUCGUCGUUUCUGCGUUGUCCCUUUUUCCCGGAGCUGGUCAUGGUGGCAACAAUAUUGUCGGGCUUCCUUUUGCGAUUAUGAUUACCUGGAUAGGAAUUCCGAGCAUCAUUAUGACGAGGUUUAUCUGAAUCAUUGUUGUGGGUGUUGUCGCGUCCGCGGUUACGGUGGGAACCGAACCGUUCGCGUUCUUUGUCUUCUUCAUCGGCCCACUGUUGCACCAUGAGCUUGAGUUCUUUGACAUCGACUGGCCGUCAGCGACCGAAGCCUUGGUAAGUUCGUCGAUCGUAGAGUCCGUUUUGGAACACUCGAUGACGUCUGCUUCGGAGAUGUCUAUGAUGGUAGCCUUCUUUUCAAAAAACCGUCUCAGGUAGUCGCGCAAAGUUUGGCCCUCUCUCUGCUUAAUUUGUUGUAAGUCAAUCUUGUUGCCUAGUCUAGCCAUGGAGCCGGCGAAGUUGUUGGUAAAAGCCUUUGUCAAGUUUGCCCAGGAGUCGAUGGACUUGGGUUUAAGUGACUCGAGCCAGGUCAGUGGUGCGGGUUCCAUGCAUAUGGGAAAAUGAAUGACUUUGGUGUCGUUCCUAGCGCCGUUAUCCCGGUCACUUCCAUUAGCUCCACCGCACGACGACGCCCGCCUCCGCCAAAUCUCAACCACCGGCAAACCCGCGCCUGCGCCGCCCUGACGCCAGAGCCCAAUGACUGCCGGCGUCAUCCCCGAAGUCCUGCUCCACCGCCCUCGUCGCUCAAUUGCCGCCCGGGCAGAGCACUCCAUUACUUCUUCCCCGGUCUUCGCGCCGCUCCCCUUCUCACUCCCGCGCCACUAUAAAAGGGAAUGCGCGAGCCCCUCCGGAGUCCGCCAUCGCUACCCUCCCGCCAUUUCUCUUGCUCCCUGUUCGAGCUCCAAGCGCCAUCACACUGAGUCCCUGUGGAACUCUCCUCUCCGCUCCACACCGCUUUCCCCCAAUCCACACAGCCGCUUGCUCCUCCGUGCUGUGUAAGAGCUUACUUGUGGUCCACAAGAAGCACCGCCAGACAUCGCCGCUGCAAGCCUUAGUGUUCCAGUUCCUCCGCCCGAACCUGCUCUUUCCCAACCCCAAGCUUUCCUUGUAAGACGAAGGUAAGCUGCUGACCCCUUGUCCGCCUCGUCUGACCCUUCUGUUCGUCCGACCCCUUGUCCGCCUCGUCCGACCCCUUUUCCGUCUCGCCCGACCCUGUCUGUUCCGCCGACCCUUUUCCGCCUCGCCCGAGGACUCGGCUGUAUCUUUUCUUUGAACCGAGGGUGUAUGUGUAAAACUUGGGGACCCUUCAGCGUUGAGUCUGAGGACCCCUAGCACACCAAAUCCUCUAGAUUAAGGGUCAGAUCAUAAGUUCCUUUCCUCCGACCCUUACCUCUUGAUCUCCAUCAACUCCAUUGAACUUUCCCACCCUCCUGUAUCUUGUCGCAAGUUUCUGGGCUCAGACUUGCAAGUGUUGCUGUUGAAAUAACCGUCUAUACUAACUAAUGCAUUGCAUUCGUGUAGAGCUGCGUCUCGCCGACGGCUACUACGAGCUGCACCCGACGCUAGAAGACGAAGCUAUAGCCGAGCUCCUGCCCCCAGAAGCCGAAGCUACCCCAGAAGUCGAGCAGUUCCCUUCCUCUUUGCUUGAAGGCAAGCCCCGGAUGCAUGAAACCCCUACGUUUUCCAAACUUGCGCAUGCCUCCUUUAACAUGCUUGUGCAUUUACGUAUAGGAGUUGUUUGGAACCCUAGAUGCAUGACUUAGCUCCCAUGAUCUGAACACUAGCUGUUGGACCGAGUAGAUGCUUUGCUUAAAUAUGAGACGGUAAAAGCCGAGUGAUUUCCUGUCACUCACGAGUUGUAGGAGUUGGAUGUCUACCCUUCUGCUACAACUAUAAGGACGAUGGACGGGGCAGGGUUUGAGGUAAUUCUUUAGUGGACGGAUGAUUGCCCCGUCUGUCUAUGAAACUUGCUAAGGCCAGACAGUGGUGGUGUUCGUGAUCAAGUGUUUGAAGGUACUAAUCUCAUACCUAGUAUGGGAUGGGGAAGCCUAGUACCUGAUUGAACUAGGGCGUGGCUUAUACCCCUGCUGUCCCUGGAACGAGGUUCCCAUGGUGCAUUAUGUGGGUGCAAGUGCGGUCACAGUACGGUAGAGGCCGGGACUGUGGAGCAUUGCAUGCCAAGGGAACUUUGGACCUGACACGCGCCUGGGAAUUGAUGGGGACGGCCGACACAGGAAGCGGCCCUUGUGGUGCGCGGAUGUCGUGAGAUUAGGUUCGCCAUGCAUGGUUAAGAAACUCGAAUCGAUUCGUCUGCCUCUCACAGUUUGAGACUGCUUGAUCGCUAUGUCACCCUGAGUAAAUAAGGAAUCUGAUGAUGACAUGGUUUUGUUGAUGAUAUAUAUACCUUUGGUUGGUUCCAUGAUUGCUUAGAAUAGGUUGCAAACUUAGACCGGAUAAUGAACUUAGAACCGGAGCUAAAACUUGAAAGUAGGGUUACACAUAGUGCUUUUGGCAAACAAACCCCUCAGCCAAAAAGCCUUGCAUGUCUAGAAUUGGAGGAGUAGCUUUACUCCUGUCGGUUAAGUCUUGUUGAGCUCAGUAGCUCAGCCUUGUUGUGGCUUUUCUUUUCAGGUGAAGUUGCUACUCCCGAGCCUUCUUCCGUUGGCACUUGGCCGCCCCAGCUCCCUCCGGGUUGGACGGUCGAGUGGGAUCCCUCCUCGGACGGCGAGGAAAGGGAUCACUGACGUCUUGGCUGGCCUCACCAAGGACGUCCGACCCCUGCGUUAGCUUCCGCUAGUGUUUUACCUUCUGUUGUUUUUCUUUUGAACCUUGUAAACUCUGAUGUGUUUUGGUGGCCAAACUAAAUGGGUAAUUUUGUUAACUCGGUGGACUUGUUGUAUUCUCUGGAACCACUCACCUUCGUGUGAGUUUGCUAACUCGAUCCUGUUCAAGUGGUUAAUCGGAUGAAAUCCGAUGGCACUUCGUGUUAACUUGGCUUAGGCAUGGGUGUCGCAUGUUAGGCGGCUUAACCCUGUUUAAUCAACCUAAUCCGAAGUGGAUCCACCACAGAUACACCCAUCCUUGUUCUGAUCACGUCCGAGUACGUCCUAUAGUGGGCCGUCCAAGGCCUACUCGUGGGUCUGGGGAGUAGUCCCGACACCAGCCAACGAUGGUGACGCCUGUUGGUGCCACAUCCCUCUCUAUUGAUAACGAAGGAGUGACUAUGUUAAGCUCUUCCUCCAUAUAUGGAUUGUAGGUUGCUAGGUAAUUUUGAGACGUAUGUUGAGUUUAAGAUCUUAUGUUGUUUAUCAUUUAUUGGAUAACUUUCUUCUUUCUCUCUUAUAUUUCCUUCUAACAAGGUUGUGAGUACUACCUUGUUACAUAGGCUAGAAUCUAAGCUUUCUUCAUCCAAAAGAAGAUUAUAUAAAAUAACCAGAAAGAAACAAAAGGGGGCGGUUAAUCUCCUUCCCAAGGGGAUUGGGGUGGGGGAGAGGGGGAUGGGGAUUUUGACUGGUAGGGAAUGUUUUGCAGGAGGAUGUGCACCUCAACAUAAAGUAACAUGGAAUCUGUGGAUACACUUUUGGCAACAUACCUUCAAACCACAUUCUAUGCAACAAUAAUCUUGUGCAAACCAUAUAUAGCUAUGCCCACCAUUUAUAGAACAAUGUUCAAUAGACUACCAUAUGCAUAUGAACGUGCACGAUGCACUACGAGAAUGUCCAAGUUUGCCGUGUGUCCACGGCACACGGCGAAGCUAAAAAAACCUCAGCAAAGCCUUUGUUGAGUGGGCGUACACAGUACCGGUAAAAAUUUCUUUGUCGAGUGUUUUUUAUCGGACACUCAGCAAAGACUUUUUUUUGAAGAAACAGGAGGGGAGACCCCUACUGAAUUUAUUAAAGAGCUAAACAACAAAACGGUUCGAAUACAAAUCAAGACCGAGAGAUCAAAAAUAAAAUAAAAUAAAGCAAGAAUCAAAAGUAAGAACUGGGAACAAGAUUUACAGGGAAUCUACCCAAGCUAACAUAAGUGACUGGAUCUGGAUCUUGACCCUAUGAAGAGCUACCAGGCAAAAUUCCGAGACAAAUUUCCGUUUGACGUCCCUGAUCAUCGGAGCAGAAUUAUUGAAGAGCAAAGACUUUGCCAGUGCUAAAACUCACGCUCGGAAAAAAAAAGCAACAUGACGGUGCGAAAACGGUCAUGGCACGUUUGCCGAGUGUCUAAUGGUAUGGACACUCGGCAAAUAUGCCCUGUUUGCCGAGUGUCCACGGAAAAAAUCCUCGACAAACAUGAGUCAUUUUGGACUUUAGGCACAAUUUCCUAAAGGAACACCAGAAAUUUCACAUAAAUUUUCACAUUAGCUGUGUAAAUAAUAGCAAAGUUCUUGCAAGGUGACCAUACUUGCAAGGUAUGCUCGUACAUGUUCAAAUUUGUUGUAAAUCUGCAGUUACAGUCCGAACAUAUAAUGACCUGAACAGCAAAAAGAUCUGCCUCGACAGCACCAAGGGAGGUUGUCACGUAGCGCGCAGGUCACUCCGCGCACGUUAGCGCUGCUGUAAUUAAGCACCUAACGUCUAGUUAAGGCGGUACCAUCAGAAUAAUCGUGUUACACGGCCAGGUAGCUAAGCUGAGCGACGACGACGACGACGACUUUGAUCUGAUGAGGGCAACCCAGUGCGGUAGAAAAAACGGGGGGCCCUGGCGUGGCGUCCCUGUAGGAAAUGGGGAACGUGUGCCACGCCACACAUGCACGCGUGCGUGCUUAAUUUCAAGGGAAUCAAAUUCUGCACUCGUCCGGCUAGUCUCACUCUCACACCUGACCAUCAUCAGCGAACUAAGAAUGAAGCGAACCUUUCAAGGCCACGCACAUUUUAUAAACCGCUUGAGAACACACUUGUACUAAUGAGUUUUCUGUCACAUGAUCCAACAGAUGGUGAUCUUGGCCACGACGAACGACGAUACGAUACACUCGCUACGGUACUACCUGCAGAGAUUCUUGACCUGCUGCCAUUCGUUUCUCGCGCUGGCACGCAGCCUGGUCGUGAUCCUGUGUGCUUUUGCUUGCAGAUGGCGGUUUGAGAUCCUGGAGAUCCAAAUCCUCUCCGCGAUUCUGGUAGUCGUAGGGAGGCUCAGGCUCAGAUAGCUACCAGCCAGCAGGUCGCGCGCGCGCGGGACCUCGCCUCGCACGCCCCUCGAAGCGCGCACGCCAUUGCUGCGUCCCCGCGACUUCCACCGCAGGCAGGAGGGAGAGGGACCGAGGGAGUAGUGCCUGCACCAACUCCCUGGGGGCCGCGGCCAACCGCAGCGCGACGUGUGUCCACUCCGACACGGCGGGGGGGCGGGGAGGAGUAAAGAAACCGGGCAGCGCGGGCCACGACCCCACGAAACGCCGACGACUAGUUUACUGUAGCAACACAUUGUCAAAUCAUGGACUAAUUAGGCUUAAUAGAUUCGUCUCGCCGUUUAGCCUCCACUUAUGUAAUCGGUUUUGUAAAUAGUCUACGUUUAAUACUCCUAAUUAGUAUCUAAACAUUCGAUGUGACGGGUGCUUAAAUUUAAGCAAGUGAACCAAACCAGGCCUAUAUGCGGCCGCUACGCUACGUACUCCAGCCGGGACAGAAGGAAUCCGGCCACACCUUCAAAAAAAAAAAAAAACAGGAACCUGGGCACCGAGCGAGCCCUUGACCAAGUCCACGUGGUCCAGACAAGCCCACUAGCCACUGGGAAAUUCGACCCCACAGGAAAUAUACCGGGCACUACCAAAACUAGUCAUUGAAAUCAUAUACCGGGCACUUUUGGAGAUGCUAUAACUGAUAAUCUAGUACAUAUAUCUUGAACAUUAUUUUUUUUAAAAAUCUGGUCGGUAGCGACUCAAAACCUCUUUUAAUUUUUUCUACUAUCAUAAUCGUUUUAAUCUUGGUGUACUUAAAUGUUUAGACUACUUAUUAGCCUACAAUAACGUUCAGAGACUAUUUGCCCAGCAACUGACCGUUGUAUUCCCUCAUAGAUAGCCAUAGGGCCACCACCUAAACCAAUUAUUAUUGUCUCGACCACCUAAACCAAGUAAAUAAAAAAUUGAAAAUCGGGGUUGGUGGGGAGACAAAGAGAAUAGGAAAGGGAAAGUGCUCGUGGGGGAAAGAGCAUCGUGGGAGGUGAGGCCGUGCUUUACAAAGCACUUUCCCAUCUGCGACUGUGAGGCCCUGAGAAUUGAAGCGUCCUUCCUCUCUGACACCACCACAAGCUAGCAGAGCGGUAGAGCCAGCAGCUUCCCAGUCGAGAUGGCCGAACUGAUGGCGAGCGCCGCCACGAGCGUGAUGGGGUCCGUCAUCGGCAAGCUGACUGCCAUGCUCGGCGAGAAGUACCAGUUCGCCAGAGACGUGGAGCAAGGGAUCCGCUUCCUGAAGGAUGAGCUGAGCACCAUGGAUGCCGUGCUGCAGAAGCUCGCAGACAAGGACGACGACCAAAUGGAUCCAAUGGAUAAAGAUUGGAGGAACAAGGUGCGUGAGCUAUCCUUCGAUAUUGAGGAUUGCGUCGAUCGCUUCAUGCUCAAUCACAGCCAUGGAGGUUCCAAGGCUAACUUUGUUCGCAAAGCCGUGCGUAAGGUGAAGAUGUUGUGGGAGGACCAGGGCAUAGCAGGGGAAAUCCAAAAACUCAAGAUACUCGUGACAGAGCAGAGUGAGCGGGCCAAACGCUACCCUGUGGGAAUGCGGUGCGACUCACCUCAGCCGGUGCGCUUGGAUCCUCGAGCAACUGCCCUCUUUCAGGAGGCGAGGGAUCCUGUGGGAAUUGAUGGUCCUCGCGAGGAAAUCAUCCAGCUAUUACAAGUUGAAGAAAAUCAGCACAAGGUGGUGUCCAUCUAUGGUACCGCUGGGCAGGGGAAGACUACUCUAGCCAUGGAGGUAUACCGAAAAAUCCCACAAGCAUUUGAUUGCAGGGCUUUCGUGUCUGUAUCUCAGACUCUGGAUAUGAAGAAUCUACUCAGAGAUAUAUUGUCUCAAAUAGUAAGCAAGAGCGAGUUUGACCAGUUGCAGUCGGAAAAUUGGGAGACGCUGCAGCUCAUACGCAAAAUGAGAGGCUACUUAAUUGGCAAGAGGUAACCAGAAUUACUUUCUUGUACUAUAAUAAUUAGCCAGUUCAUCUAGCUAUGGCAAUGUUGUGAGGUCUUUGUCGAUCACAUGAGCUCACCUAAUUUAUCGGCCAUUUUACGAUUGUAUUUUACGGACCCAUUCGAGCAUAAAACUACCACAUAUGCAUUUGUUACAUGACUUCAGCUGUUCAACAUAUCUACCAAAAGCCAUCGCUAAAUAUCUUACAACAACGUCAAGUCAACUGCUCAUGAAUGUAGGCGUAUGUGGUUGGAGUUGGCCUGUACUAUACUAUACAAAACGAUUGUGUGCGAAUGAUAUUUGAGUAGAAAAUUAUUUACUCUAUACCAUCAAAUAAUUCCAGAUUCAGUAAAAUUAUUUCUUGAUAACUUCAACCAUGUUUGUUUUGUAUAGCCAUUCUAAAUAUCCAUAAAAAUCUUCUUUAAAAAUUAAGUUUUCAAACUGAACGCUUCUUGUUUUUCAGUGGGCCUCAUGUGGAGGAAGCUACUCUUUUGCAGGUUGUAGACAGAUUCUUUUCCGAUAAUAGAGGAAAUAGUUUCCAGCGUCUAUUCCUAGCACGUGUAAUACGAAUUGACAGAAAAAAUGUGCCACCACUAUCCAUCUCUUUACUUUUCUCCAAUAUCUUUCACCAUGAUAUGCUCUAUAUGUUGAAUAGUUAUGGUGGCCUUGUAACAUGAUUCCUCAACCAAUGCAUGCAGGUACUUCAUCUUGAUUGAUGAUAUCUGGCAUGUAUCAGAUUGGGAUCUUGUAGAAGCUGCCUUACCUCGCAAUGACAACGGAAGCAGAAUAAUUACUACAACACGCAGUAAAACAGUAGCCGAAACAUGUGCUGGUACUGAUGCACAAAUGUACAAAGCAAAGCCACUUGGUGAUGACGAUUCUCGCAGAUUAUUCUUUAAAAGGCUAUUUCACUCAACUGAACAUUGUCCCCAAGAUUUGAUGGCAGUAUCCAGUGAUAUUUUGAGGAAAUGUGGGGGAUUACCAUUAGCCAUAAUCAGUAUAGCUGGUUUAUUAGCAAACAGAAGCAAAACCAAGGAAGUCUGGGUCAAUGCAUUGAAGUAUAUUUCUGCUGCAGUUGACCAAGAUUCUCACAUUGAUAAAAUGAAAAGAAUUUUUCUGCUUAGUUACUUCGACCUUCCUCUUCAUCUAAAGAGCUGUAUGUUAUAUCUGAGCGUGUUCCCGGAGGAUUAUGUGAUUGAUUGUAGACGGUUGAUAUUGUUAUGGGUAGCCGAAGGACUGAUUCCUGGACAAGGUAGAGAAAAUAUGGAGCAGCUUGGGAGGAGUUACUUGAAUGAGCUGAUCAAUAGAAGCUUGGUCGAGCCAACCAAGGUUGGGGUAGAUGGCGCAACAGUGAAAGAGUGCAGAGUUCAUGAUGUCAUACUUGAGUUUAUUGUAUCAAAGGCUGUGGAGGACAAUUUUGUUACUAUAUGGAAUGGUAAUGGGCUUUCUAAAAAUUAUUCUUCUAACAAGAUUCGCCGUUUAUCUAUCCAACGUGGCAUUUCUAUGCGGGCUGAAGAGAUGGUGAAGAUAAAACAACAUACAGCUCAUAUUCGGUCAAUUAAUAUUUUUGACCAUAAUUCAGUGCUGCUAAUUAAAAACACCUCUAUGUUUUUAAGUAGCCAAGUCUUGCGAGUGGUGAAUACAGAAAUCUUUGAGUUGUUACUUGAAGAUUGGUAUCUUGGACAUGUCAAAAGUUUUGGUCAAAUCAAGUACUUGAGGUUAGAAAUUAGACCAUGCCUCUGGAAACUCCCAAAAGAUAUAGAAAAGCUGCAGCAUCUGGAGACACUAGAUGUUAGGAAUACCCGCAUUAAAAAACUACCGGCUAGCAUUACCCAACUGCAGAGAUUAGUGCGUCUUCUUGUCAAUGCUGAGGUAAAACUACCUGAUGGGAUUGGAAAUCUGCAGGCAUUGGAAGAGCUAUCAUUUAUCGGGUUGAGUUUUCAAACUAUCAAGUUUAUCCAAGGGCUCGGCGAUCUGACCAAUCUGAAGAUACUUGGAAUUGAGUGGUGGUACGCUCAUGCAGAAGUACGUCACGUGGACGUGGAAGGCCACAAGGAAGCAUGUAUCUCGUCACUCUCCAAGCUUGUCACAACCCUUCGAGAACUGUACGUCGUGCAGGAUGCUUCUGAUGACAAACUUUCAUUCAUGGCUUCGUGUGGCUCUACUCCACCACCCCUUUGGAAGCUCAUCAUUCGUGGAUGUGUCCUGCCCCAUCAAAUCAUCAGCUCGCUAGUCAACCUGACCCGCCUCUGUAUUAGACUAGUAAGCCAGGAAGGGAUAAAUAUCCUAGCAAGUUUGCCCAUGCUCCUCUCUAUUACUGUUCAUGUUUACAUUGAAGAGGGUAAUUCUACAAUCAGGUAUACAAUCAGCAGUCAAGGAUUCCAGCGUUUAGUCAAGUUUAAUUUCCACUGUUUUCAGGGGGGGGCGUUGGAGUUUGAGCCAGGAGCCAUGCCAAAGCUCCAAAGGCUCAAGCUGUACGUGGUCGUACGGAGCCAGUUCAAUUAUGAGCAAGACGGCCCGGUCCUUGGGCUGCAGAAUCUGGCAGGCCUCAAACAUGUUGCUCUUAAUAUUAACUGUUAUCAAGCUACUCCUGAUGAGGUGCAGGAUUUGGAGGAUGACAUCAGGGUUGCAGCAGGCACCCAUCCCAACCGUCCCGUGGUCCAGCUGGGCAUAAAAAUACGUCAAGAUUGUAUGGCUCAAGGGUGCAGCAGGCGCCCACGCAACCAUCCCAUGCUAGAAGCACAAUGACCAAGUAAAUGCAUGGUGUGGAGAAUAAAUAUCAUUAUCAAUGAUGAUCUUUUUUUCUAUUUCAAGAGCACGUUGGAAUUAAACAAGGUUAAUUCGAUUUGUUUUCAUCUUAGUUUUUGCUUUAUGACAACAUGUGCGCGCGUGUAGAUUGGCCUCUCGGAUCUAUGGAGUGCUGAUAUGUGUUGCUUGAUAUGAUGGUGUUGUGUCGAGGUGGGUUUGGGAUGUGUGGUCAGAGCGAAGGCAUUUGCCCUUCGCCGGGCCAACAAUGCUAACGCCUGUUGGUGCCACAUCCCUCUCUAUUGACUACGAAGGAGUGACUACGUUAAGCUCUUCCUCCAUAUAUGGAUUGUAGGUUGCUAGGUAAUUUUGAGACGUAUGUUGAGUUUAAUAUCUUAUGUUGUUUAUCACGUACUGGAUCUCUUUCUUCUUUCUUUCUUUUAUAUUUCCUUUUGACAAGGUUGUGUGUUGUUGCAUAGGCGGCUGGAAUCUAAGCUUUCUUCGUCCAAAAGAAGAUUAUAUAAAACAACCAACAAAAGGGGGGCGGUUAAUCUCCUUCCCAAGGGGAUUGGGGUGGGGCGAGAGGGGGGGGGGAUUUUGAUUGGUAGGGGAUGUUUUGUAGAAGGAUGUGCACCUCAACAUUGUAGAAGGAUGUGCACCUCAACAUAAGUAACAUGGAAUCUGUGGGGUAUCCUUUUGACAACAUACCUUCAAACCACAUUCUAUGCAACAAUAAUCUUGUGCAAACCAUAUAUAGCUAUGCCCACCAUUUCUAGAACAAUGUUCAAUAGACUACCAUAUGCAUAUGAACGUGCACGAUGGAUAUUAGACACAAAACAUAGUAGUAGUAGUAUAACUUGCACAAAACUACAUUUAUGAUCUUUUGUAUUUGAGCCAGGAAGUUCUUUCAAAACCCACAAGAAAGCACGCACUGGUCUUGUUGUUCACUAUACGUUAGGUGUUGCAAUUGCAUAUAAUCUCUUUUAUUUAUUUAGUUUGAACAACCGUGCAUGGCUAGGCACUUCCGAAAGUCUUCACUUCAAGUACUUGUCAAACCAGUCGAUCAUUAGACCAAGAGCUUGCUCAGCAGUUUUGACAGCAAAAG
rnacentral:lncRNA from 1 species